UACGAAGGGUGCUAGCGUUGUUCGGAAUUACUGGGCGUAAAGCGCGUGUAGGCGGCUCGUUAAGUCAGGGGUGAAAUCCUGAGGCUCAACCUCAGAAUUGCCUUUGAAACUAACGAGCUAGAGUGUCGGAGGGGAUAGCGGAAUUGCUAAUGUAGAGGUGAAAUUCGUAGAUAUUAGCAGGAACACCGGUGGCGAAGGCGGCUAUCUGGACGACAACUGACGCUUAGGCGCGAAAGCGUGGGGAUCAAACAGG
rnacentral:rRNA from 1 species